UUUAGUUCUGGUGUGAGUAGGAUGCUUCAUUUCAAUCCCUUAUAAAUUUAGAUAGCAUUUCAUGCAAUGUUAGUUGUGUAACGAAGAAAACAAGCUAAAAAUGGCUAAAGAGAAAUCAUAUGUAAUAGCUCUUCUUCUUCUUCUAUCUUUGCUCCUAUGUCUUUCUUCUCAAGUUGGUAUUGCCGAGGCCAGACGCCAUACAAGUGAGUAUAUUUAUAUCCUUCUACGCAUAGUUGAAAUUUGUGUCCAGUUGUUCACGUUCUACGUUGUUUAUGAAAGUAGCAUACUCCAAUAAUGGCUUCAAUUUUUUUUUGUUAGUUAAUACCGGGUAUUCAGACUCUCGAUGUGCCGAUAAAUUUCAAGCAACUCCUCCACCACCAGGUAGAUUUGUAACUGAAAAUGCAAACCAGAUAGUCUGAAUAAGUUGUUUGUAUACAAAAAUUAUGCAUGAUUCAGAAAUGCAUGGUGUUACUAACUAGCUAAACCCAUUAAAGUUCAGUGUAAAGUUUGGUAAAGAAACAAAUCAUAUGAACUUGCGCAUAUUGUUAACAGUCUACAAACCUACCCCGCCGAUAGUCGCUCCGAGGUCUUCGUCACCCAAAGGAAAAAGCCCAUAACUCCAUAAGUGCUGAAAAGUUUCAAGAAAUGACAGGGAUUCAAGAAACACACACAAGAAGAGUAAAAAACCUUUAUUACUGUACAACUCGUAUAUCGAAUUUUACGUGUAUGUAAACGUAAAAUUAAAUAAUUAUGUGUAAAACUUUUAAGUCAAAGAAGAUUACGAACUUUUAGCUAUGAUAUAUAAUAUAAACAUUGAAAAAAAAAUCCAAUUUAAGCCAAAUAAAAAGAAGUCAAUCAUCAACAUCAGGUAAAAGGAACAUGCGCAUGUUGUUUACUAAAUUCACCCGCCGAAAGUGACGGAGGACACCGCACUCUAGUUCAAAGUUCAAACAAAGGAAAAAGGCCCAUAAGUGAAGUUUUCAAAAAGCGAUGGGGACUACAAGAAGAGGUCAACUUAAUUGUUGUGUAACGUCGAUCACGGACGGUGGACUUGCACAUAAAUGUGAAAUAACUAUAACUAUUUCAAAUUUGUGGUGGACUACCUCAAAAUAACUAACUGUUUCAAAAACUGUUUUAAUGAAAUCUGUUAAGAUCCGAGAACGAAGAUGAUAGAGGAAGACCUUGUU
rnacentral:lncRNA from 1 species